rnacentral:rRNA from 1 species
CUGGUUCAGAUUGAAGGCUGGCGGAAGCCUUAACACAUGCAAUUCGAACGCCGGCACGGGGGUAACCUUGGUGGGGAGUGGCGAACGGGUGAGUAAUACAUCGGAACGUGUCCUGUAGUGGGGGAUAGCCCGGCGAAAGCCGGAUUAAUACCGCAUACGCUUUACGGAGGAAAGGGGGGGAUCUUAGGACCUCUCGCUACAGGGGCGGCCGAUGGCAGAUUAGCUAGUUGGUGGGGUAAAGGCCUACCAAGGCGACGAUCUGUAGCUGGUCUGAGAGGACGACCAGCCACACUGGGACUGAGACACGGCCCAGACUCCUACGGGAGGCAGCAGUGGGGAAUUUUGGACAAUGGGGGAAACCCUGAUCCAGCAAUGCCGCGUGUGUGAAGAAGGCCUUCGGGUUGUAAAGCACUUUUGUCCGGAAAGAAAACAUAUGCACUAAUACUGUGUGUGGAUGACGGUACCGGAAGAAUAAGCACCGGCUUAU